GAACAUUGAUAUUUAAUUGCCUGUGUUGUUGGUAGGCCUCAGUUUAAAAUCCUCCUUUUUUUUUCCAGUUAUAUUAUUAACAUGGAUAUAAGCAGCAGCAGUGAAGAGUUUGAGGACUAUAAGUCUCCAGUGCCAGAGCAGGAAGACUCCAGCUGUGUGGUGAUUGACUCAGACUCUGACACUGGAUCUCCCAUUGAAGAACAGAGGGCUAAGAUCUGUGAAAUAAGCAACAAAG